GAUGAAGAACGCAGUGAAAUGCGAUAAGUAAUGUGAAUUGCAGAAUUCAGUGAAUCAUCGAAUCUUUGAACGCACAUUGCGCCCGUCAGUAUUCUGGCGGGCAUGCCUGUUCGAGCGUCAUUACGCCCCUCAAGUCCCCUGUGGACUUGGUGUUGGGGAUCGGCGAGGCUGGUUUUCCAGCACAGCCGUCCCUUAAAUUAAUUGGCGGUCUCGCCGUGGCCCUCCUCUGCGCAGUAGUAAAACACUCGCAACAGGAGCCCGGCGCGGUCCACUGCCGUAAAACCCCCCAACUUUUUAUAGUUGACCUCGAAUCAGGUAGGACUACCCGCUGAACUUAAGCAUAUAAUAAGCGGAGGA
rnacentral:misc_RNA from 1 species